UGAAUACGAGGCACUAAGGUGCUGAAGUAGUGUAUGUCAUACUUCCAAGAAAAGCUUGCACUAUCGUAAGAUAAAAAUGCCUGUACCAUAACCGACACAGGUGGGUAGGUAGAGUAUACUAAGGGGCGCGAGAUAACUCUCUCUAAGGAACUCGGCAAAAUAACUCCGUAACUUCGGGAGAAGGAGUGCCUUAUUCUAUAAGGUUGCAAUAACAAGAUCCAAGCAACUGUUUAUCAAAAACACAGGUCUCCGCUAAGUCGUAAGACGAUGUAUGGGGGCUGACGCCUGCCCAGUGCCAGAAGGUUAAAGAAGUCGGUUAGCAAUUGCGAAGCUGGUAACUGAAGCCCUGGUGAACGGCGGCCGUAACAAUAACGGUCCUAAGGUAGCGAAAUUCCUUGUCGGGUAAGUUCCGACCCGCACGAAAGGCGUAAUGAUUUGGAUACUGUCUCGGAGAGGGACUCGGUGAAAUAGACUUGUCUGUGAAGAUGCGGACUACCUGCACCAGGACAGAAAGACCCUAUGAAGCUUUACUGUAACUUGAAAUUGAAAUUGGACUUUAUUCGCGCAGUAUAGGUGGGAGGCGUUGAUUAUAAUCUUGUGGGAUUAUUGGAGCCAUUAGUGAGAUACCACUCUUGUAAUGUUAGAUUUCUAACUUUGAAUCAUGAUCUGGUCAAAGAACAGUUUCAGGCGGGCAGUUUGACUGGGGCGGUCGCCUCCUAAAUGGUAACGGAGGCGUACAAAGGUUUCCUCUGAACGGGUAGAAAUCGUAUCUAGGGUGUAAAGGCAUAAGGAAGCUUGACUGUGAGACCUACAAGUCGAGCAGGGACGAAAGUCGGUCUUAGUGAUCUGACGGUACUGAGUGGAAAGGCCGUCACUCAACGGAUAAAAGUUACUCUAAGGAUAACAGGCUGAUCUCCCCCAAGAGUUCACAUCGACGGGGAGGUUUGGCACCUCGAUGUCGGCUCAUCGCAUCCUGGGGCGGUAGUACGUCCCAAGGGUUGGGCUGUUCGCCCAUGAAAGCGGUACGCGAGCUGGGUUCAGAACGUCAUGAGACAGUUCGGUCCAUAUCCGGUGUAGGCGUUAGAAUAUUGAGAGGAGCCUUCUUUAGUACGAGAGGACCGAGAAGGACAUACCUCUGGUGUACCAGUUAUCGUGCCAACGGUAAACGCUGGGUAGCUAUGUAUGGAGUGGAUAACCGCUGAAAGCAUCUAAGUGGGAAGCCCACCUCAAGAUAAGUAUUCUCAUC
rnacentral:rRNA from 1 species